rnacentral:rRNA from 1 species
UGCAGUCGAGCGGAUGACGGGAGCUUGCUCCCUGAUUCAGCGGCGGACGGGUGAGUAAUGCCUAGGAAUCUGCCUGGUAGUGGGGGACAACGUCUCGAAAGGGACGCUAAUACCGCAUACGUCCUACGGGAGAAAGCAGGGGACCUUCGGGCCUUGCGCUAUCAGAUGAGCCUAGGUCGGAUUAGCUAGUUGGUGAGGUAAUGGCUCACCAAGGCGACGAUCCGUAACUGGUCUGAGAGGAUGAUCAGUCACACUGGAACUGAGACACGGUCCAGACUCCUACGGGAGGCAGCAGUGGGGAAUAUUGGACAAUGGGCGAAAGCCUGAUCCAGCCAUGCCGCGUGUGUGAAGAAGGUCUUCGGAUUGUAAAGCACUUUAAGUUGGGAGGAAGGGCAUUAACCUAAUACGUUAGUGUUUUGACGUUACCGACAGAAUAAGCACCGGCUAACUCUGUGCCAGCAGCCGCGGUAAUACAGAGGGUGCAAGCGUUAAUCGGAAUUACUGGGCGUAAAGCGCGCGUAG